rnacentral:lncRNA from 1 species
UUUGCAGUUCCUGGUAAAGGAAAAUGUAAACCUGCAGACAUGGAGAAUAUGUUACCACUUCUUAAACUGGUUCUGUACUGUGUUGAUAAAGUCAGCCGUCUUCAGUUGGGAAAAGAGGUAAGAUAUUUAUGAUAGAUAAAUUAAAUUUUGUAAAUUGCAUAGUAUAGGCAAUGCAAUUUUGGUAAUGCCAAAAUAUAUUUGUUCACCUGACUGAGUUCCUCUGCAAAUUUUGUUAAAAACAAUGCAUACUAUCUGUAACGGUGUGAACAAAUUCUCUACCCUUUAUUCCGUAAAAAACAAAUAUUGUUUUAUUUGCGAAGUAAUAUUUGUUCCAGAGGAAAUCAUAUUACAGAAUAGUUUUUCCAAAUGUAACUUAUAUUAUGAAGAAACUUAAAUUAUGACACUAUCUAUUUGUGAUAGGGGACUUUAACUUUGAACUGUGAUCAAUAAAAUAUAAUAGCAAAGUUAUUCUUUCUCAUUUUAAGGCUAGGGCUAAAGCAGACAAGAAACGUCAGAAGAUGCAAGAAGUUUUUGAAAAAGCAACUCAUCAACAACGUCAGGAACAAGCUCAGCAAAGACGUGAAGAGAAAAGAAGAGU